CAUAUGAUUGGUUUCAAGGAUCACUCAUACUUCUCUUCAUUGGAUUUGCCAGGCCAUGGGAGCCCUGCAUGAUGAGACAAAAUCCAUUGAAACCCCCCCUUGUCAUCUUUUUUUCUAUCUCUGAAGAACAGAAAGCUUGACCUCGUUUACAGCAAAAACAAAGGUCAGGUUGGUGCAGAGUCACAGUCUAGUCCGCAGAGCUCACAAGAGUGACACGCAGAUUAAUGGCAGACAAGCCUUGUGGUGGGCUAGCAAACCCCUUUGCCUAGCUUCUCAACACUGAAUGCUACCACACAUGAAGUCUGUGUAUAAUAUGGCCUGUGCAGUAGGGCAUGCAUGUCCAGUUAUGUGGUGGUCUUGGUGGCUGUGCUUCUAAUGGUGUGAGCUUCUAUCCUUCUUCAGCCAAGCCCUGGCUCUGCAUGCUGAAGAGCAGCCAAUUCAAUGGCAAAGACUUGAUUUUUUCAACAUGGAUUUGCUUGAUGAAAACCAGGGUUAGCAAGACUGUUUUCAGGGUUUGUCUUGUGUGAUUGUUGUGAUUGCUGUGUGCUUGUGUGUUCUGCUGUAUGCAUUCAUGAAUCAAAUGAAAAAUUGUGAGGAUUGAACUGGCUAGGGAACGAUUAAUUGCAGACAAACAGAAGCAAGUGGGCCUCCAGGAAAAAAGCUCCAAUGGGGGGAAAAAAACUCUAAUGGGACACUUUGGUUGUCAAUCUCUGAAGACUGUAGAUGUGCAUGAGACUCUGAUUCCAUGGUUUUGGUUGGAAUCCACUAUCCAACAAAAAAUGUUAUUGGUGUUGUGAUUUGUUGGAGGACAAAAGAAAGUGAUAGAAAAUGAAAGGAAGAAAAAGGAGAAAGAAUAAGAUGGAAGGAAAAGAGAGGUGGUCAUUAGAGUAUUCUCUUGUGAUUCUUGUUGUUAGUGAUGACUUGCUUUCUUCAUUUUUGUCAUUCAAAAAGGAAACAAUAAAACUCUAAGGUGGGUGUUUUUUUUAGACAUGCGUUUAUAUAUACAUAAAUACAUAUCUUUGGAUCUCGAUUUUCCUUUUA
rnacentral:lncRNA from 1 species